UUUUAUUUUCAAGUUUAUAGAGUUGCACAAUCUCCAUAAAUAAAUCACAAUCUCUAUAACUAAAACACAGAUUUGUGGCACCAGGAUUGGCUGGCGACAUAAGCUGGUUGAAGGGAAGCAGAGUCCGCAGACAUUCACCAAACGUUUGGGCUGCAAAGUUGUGAGGUCUUGUGGUCAAAGAUGGGCAUGCAUGAUUGUCUCAAACUGUUGAGGAACUAUGGAGCGGAUGUGGGCUUCGUGCAUUGAAGCUACGCAAUCUCUUUCUUCGAAUACUAUCGGAUUCUGACUUGGUACUGCUGUUUGUGGGUAAAUAACACUUAAAACCAUGUUACAAAAGCUGGACAAUCAUCAAUCCUCAGCAGUGGCAACUUUAUCAUUGGGUAUCCUUGCUCUCAGCCAAGCCAACUCUGCAAAUCCGAAGUUGAUUCCAAUAAUUCGGCUUCCAACCCUACUUCUUCAGCUUGGUGGUCCUUGAUUAAUUGUCACAGCUUAUUCUAUGGAAGACAACGAAUUAUAGCAAAGGCACCUUCUUGAGCUAGCAGUCCAAGUCGGUGUGGCUUCUUAUGUCUUGUUCAGGUUACGGAGCAGGAAUGCCAUCAUGCUAGUAGCCAUUCCCGUCUUUAUUUCAGGAAUAAUCAAGUAUGGAGAAAGGAUACGGGCUUUCAGGUUAAUUAGCAAGUUCCCAGACUUUUGAGCACUACACAGACAAUCAAUUAUUCUUCCAGCCACGCUUCUGUUAGAACAUCGCUUCCGAAUUUGUAUGCACCAACAGCGUAUGAGGAUAGAUAUCUCUAUGAAGCUCGUCUUUUGUUCAGGAUGCUGUUCACAAAUUUAGUUCUUGGCAUUGAUGAUCAAAAGAAAACCUACGAUUUGAUUUCCAAAAAGAAUAUAUACCAAAUUAAGAAGGCUUAAGUUGAUAGAAGUCCAGGUGGGAAUAUUCAUGUAUGAUCUGCACUAUUCUAAGGUGAAAAAGGUUUCUUUUCCACGCAUCAGCCUCCAUUCUAUCACCUUCUUAUCCUCUGUUUCUGCAUUAGUUGCCUUCUCAACAAUAACCACAAAGAAGAACGUCUAUUCUAAUAGCGAUACGAUGCUAUCUUACUUGUUGCUGCUCGGAGCUAUCUUGCUUGAGAGUUAAUCUAUCAUCGUGUUUUUUUGGUCGGACAAGACAGUGCUUUGGCUUAGUAGUGGUCAGAUAGCGGGUAAUUUUCUUUAUGGAACCAAUGGUUUGUUUAAGAAUCACAAAAGAUAGUCAGGAUCCAUGGCUCAACAUGACCUAAUUCUAAGUACCCUGUUUAGUAAACCAGUGAUCAAGGUUCUUAGCAAGCAUUUGCCUGGAAAACUGGAACGUUCAUGGCAGGGAGGAUGUGGAUGAUGCUUUAAAAGAAUUGAUCUUCAUCAAUCAUGCCUUGCAUAAACGUUCAAGGAUACCAGUGAUUUCAACGUCCUGAAGCAGCUAUAAUAAUUAGCAGAGAGAGGUGACGUGGCACAUUUCGAAGGAAGGAUUUCUUUGAAAAAAUUGGAUGGAGGGUGGUUGGUGUAGAAUUCAUUAAUAGCCUCCUUUCGUGGCACAUUGUUACUCGUGUCUGUUAUUGUUGGGUCUGUGAUAAAUUGUGUCCUUGAGUGGGAGAAAAUAAAUAGCCAUGUAAUUAUUUCAUAUAAAAUUUUAAUGCUGUUAUAUUUCAGUGUAAGGUUUA